rnacentral:rRNA from 1 species
UACGAAGGGGGCUAGCGUUGCUCGGAAUUACUGGGCGUAAAGGGCGCGUAGGCGGAUAGUUUAGUCAGAGGGGAAAGCCCAGGGCUCAACCUUGGAAUUGCCUUUGAUACUGGCUAUCUUGAGUUCGGGAGAGGUGAGUGGAAUGCCGAGUGUAGAGGUGAAAUUCGUAGAUAUUCGGCGGAACACCAGUGGCGAAGGCGACUCACUGGCCCGAUACUGACGCUGAGGCGCGAAAGCGUGGGGAGCAAACAGG